CGUGUAGGCGGCGAUCUAAGUCGGGUGUGAAAUCCCUCGGCCCAACCGGGAAUUGCAUUCGAUACUGGUUCGCUUGAGUGCGGUAGGGGCAAGUGGAACUCCAGGUGUAGCGGUGAAAUGCGUAGAUAUCUGGAGGAACGCCGGUGGCGAAAGCGACUUGCUGGACCGCAACUGACGCUGAGGCGCGAAAGCUAGGGGAGCAAACG
rnacentral:rRNA from 1 species